rnacentral:rRNA from 1 species
UACGAAGGGUGCAAGCGUUACUCGGAAUUACUGGGCGUAAAGCGUGCGUAGGUGGUUCGUUAAGUCUGAUGUGAAAGCCCUGGGCUCAACCUGGGAAUGGCAUUGGAUACUGGCAUCUAGAGUGCGGUAGAGGGAGUGGAAUUCCCGGUGUAGCAGUGAAAUGCGUAGAGAUCGGGAGGAACACCAGUGGCGAAGGCGGCUACCUGGACCAGCACUGACACUGAAGCACGAAAGCGUGGGGAGCAAACAGG